UAGGGAAUCUUCGGCAAUGGGGGCAACCCUGACCGAGCAACGCCGCGUGAGUGAAGAAGGUUUUCGGAUCGUAAAGCUCUGUUGUAAGAGAAGAACGUGUGUGAGAGUGGAAAGUUCACACAGUGACGGUAACUUACCAGAAAGGGACGGCUAACUACGUGCCAGUAGCCGCGGUAAUACGUAGGUCCCGAGCGUUGUCCGGAUUUAUUGGGCGUAAAGCGAGCGCAGGCGGUUUAAUAAGUCUGAAGUUAAAGGCAGUGGCUUAACCAUUGUUCGCUUUGGAAACUGUUAAACUUGAGUGCAGAAGGGGAGAGUGGAAUUCCAUGUGUAGCGGUGAAAUGCGUAGAUAUAUGGAGGAACACCGGUGGCGAAAGCGGCUCUCUGGUCUGUAACUGACGCUGAGGCUCGAAAGCGUGGGGAGCAAACAGG
rnacentral:rRNA from 1 species